AUCAACAAGAAAAACACAUGUUUUACGUUUCAUAUUUUAUAUGUUUUACUUUGAAAUUUUAGAUUAAGGAAAUUGAACAGCAGUUAGUGGAGUCUGAGAAAACAAAAUCCUCUUCUGCCCAUGAAAAUGAAAAACUUCAGGAAGCAUUUGAAGCUUUACAACAAAAUAAUGAAAACCUGAUGGAAAAGCUCAGGACACUGCAGUCUGCUGUAGAAGAAGAAAGGAGAAAGAACCUGCAUCAAGAAGAAAGAUUGUCUGACACUCAAAAGUCAUUCAAGAAGCUUCAGAGUUUAAUUAAUUCUAAGAGUGCUGAACUGUCAAAGGUACAAACUUGUUUGGAAGAGGCCAGACUAAAAGAAGCAGCAGUAAAAGCUGAACUGCAAUCUGUGUUGAAAGAAAACAACACUUUAAAAGACA